rnacentral:lncRNA from 1 species
UUUCAGUGGAAAAAGCAGUGCCCUUAAAGUCCACUGAAAUUCUCCACCUGGCCCCAUGCCAGAGUUUUAGGUUCUGACAGGUUAGGAGGAGCUAGCACUGCUACACACACACUUCUGAGGACAUGAAAAAAUCAUCUGCUCAAGAUCAUUUGUGCUCACUUUUCAAGUCUGCGGCUAUAAUGUUUGGAAAUUAUAGAGCCCAAGAAAUUACCUUUUCCUGUUUUCAUUUUCCAUCACAGGCAACAAAAUCACAUGCAUUGCUUUUUCCACAGUCUGCAGUAAGAAUUGGCAUCUUGGUCAACUGGCCCUGGCAUUUGAGAUUGCUGCUUUCCUCCUCCUGUGGGGACAAUUUUCCUCCCUCUGUAAUUCAGCUCACUGACGUGCACCCUGAAACAAGGGGCACUUAGUGGGCCCAGGGCAGGGGAAACCGAGAACCCAGCUUGUUAUCCAAACACAGGUUGGAAAUGAACCUCCCCAAGAGCAGAUCUGCCAGGAGCAGAACAGGGAACCUGAACCCCCGCGGGACGGCAUUUGGCACCAGUGAAAAGCAGGUUAGAUGCUCUGAAGAAGGCUUUACAAAAAGGCCAGGGCACAACAGAAGAUGAACAGCCACAGAGAGCAAUCCAGAGCUUGCCGUCCUCGGAAGGUUCCAGGGAAAAGAGGACUCACCUGGACUCCUCCCUUCCUGGCUCCAGGAAAAAACGAGCCAACAAAAUGAAAGCAGUUCUCCAUACAUACUCUUCUUAGGGGGAAGGCAAAUAUGCUGAAAUCAAAGAAAUAAUUGCGCACCUCUGAGUUCCGAGUCAGACUUUUGAGAGCGUUGGGCAGAGACAACAUCCUGAAAACAAAGCUUUUUUGCUGCAGCAGGCAGGGGUUUGAGAGAGAAAAUGUUGAACUCCUAAGGGACUAGCAUCCUGGUAGGCUUCAGCAGAGUUUAUACCAUGAACUAAAGAACAGGGGAAAUGUAGGAUGCCACAAAAACAUUUUUCUCUACUUGGAAAAAAAAAAAAAAGAUGAAUUCAGUGAUUGUGGGAAGAAGGAUCAGCGGGGCUAUAGCCAAUGUUUAUGCCCCUAAGACAUGCCCUGCACAAUGGUCCCCUCCAUGGAUCAAAAACCUUAGACAGAGGGGAGACAGAAACUUCAGAUAACCCAAGAAGGUCUCCAGAGGCAAACAGACCAUUGCCUGGCUUCCCAAGGACUAGCAAAGGAGAAUCCAAGUCUUACGAAGAAGCCUCAUGUCCAGUGUGGCC